UACGUAGGUGGCAAGCGUUGUCCGGAAUUAUUGGGCGUAAAGCGCGCGCAGGCGGUCCUUUAAGUCUGAUGUGAAAGCCCACGGCUCAACCGUGGAGGGUCAUUGGAAACUGGGGGACUUGAGUACAGAAGAGAAGAGUGGAAUUCCACGUGUAGCGGUGAAAUGCGUAGAGAUGUGGAGGAACACCAGUGGCGAAGGCGACUCUUUGGUCUGUAACUGACGCUGAGGCGCGAAAGCAUGGGGAGCAAACAGG
rnacentral:rRNA from 1 species